rnacentral:rRNA from 1 species
GGGAGUGAUCGAGGGAGCGCCAGACCCGACUCGAAGUAUGUACUGAAAGUCGUCCCGCAGACCAUAGAGGGUGUGAGUCCCGUAGGGUCGCGUCGUCUGGUGGUUCCCGCCGGUCGCUCUCGAGAGUCGGGUUGCUUGUAAAUGCAGCCUUAAGAUAGGUGGUAAACUCCAUCUAAAGCUAAAUAUCCCCACGAGACCGAUAGAUAACAAGUACCGCGAGGGAAAGUUGAAAAGGACUCUGAAGAGAGAGUUCAAGAGAGCGUGAAACUGCCACGAGCCUAAAGCGAGUGAGUGUUCGUACCCGAAGGGAAAGUUGACCCGUGGUGCCGUUCUGUGGGGUCGCGAGACGCGCCUUAAAUGGAUCUAUCCCGAACGUCGCAGGCCUCAGCGUCUCGGCUUCGUGGGUAGACCGGCGUACCCUCCUGGGCGGCAUGUAGAGGUCUGCUGCUUUCCUUAGUAGGGCGUCGUGGCCGUUCGAGAGGUGUCGAAGACCCGGGGGUCUGGGAAACCGUAUCUUCUGGGCGUUCCCACUAAAGUCUCUGUUCGGCUACUACGGUGGUCGUUCAUGAGAGAGAGAGAAAGG